CCUACGGGAGGCAGCAGUGGGGAAUUUUGGACAAUGGGGGCAACCCUGAUCCAGCCAUUCCGCGUGAGUGAAGAAGGCCUUCGGGUUGUAAAGCUCUUUCGCAAGGGAAGAAAACUUAUGAUCGAAUAAAUCAUGAGGUUGACGGUACCUUGAUAAGAAGCACCGGCUAACUACGUGCCAGCAGCCGCGGUAAUACGUAGGGUGCGAGCGUUAAUCGGAAUUACUGGGCGUAAAGCGUGCGCAGGCGGUUUUGUAAGUCGGAUGUGAAGUCCCCGGGCUCAACCUGGGAACUGCGUUCGAAACUGCAAGGCUAGAGUGUGUCAGAGGGGGGUAGAAUUCCACGUGUAGCAGUGAAAUGCGUAGAGAUGUGGAGGAAUACCAAUGGCGAAGGCAGCCCCCUGGGAUAACACUGACGCUCAUGCACGAAAGCGUGGGGAGCAAACAGGAUUAGAUACCCUGGUAGUCCACGCCCUAAACGAUGUCAACUAGUUGUUGGUAGAGUAAAAUCUAUGAGUAACGUAGCUAACGCGUGAAGUUGACCGCCUGGGGGAGGUACGGUCGGCGAAGAGUAAACGUUAACAAUAGUUAAGUUAGUACGGCGUUGAGACGUUGCCGACGGACGACCGACGAGGGGAGGUUAGG
rnacentral:rRNA from 1 species